CGCGUAGGCGGUCUUGUCGGUCAGAUGUGAAAGCCCGGGGCUCAACCCCGGACGUGCAUUUGAAACAGCAAGACUUGAGUACGGGAGAGGAAAGCGGAAUUCCUGGUGUAGAGGUGAAAUUCAUAGAUAUCAGGAGGAACACCGAUGCGAAGGCAGCUUUCUGGACCGAUACUGACGCUGAGGCGCGAAGCCAGGGUAGCGAACG
rnacentral:rRNA from 1 species